CAAUUUAUUGAAUUAGGUUGUGACAAUUUAUUGAAUUAGGUUAAUUACAAUUAACGCUAGUGUUACUCAUGAUUGCAAAGUUGUAUUUUUUGGCCCGAUUUUGUCCUAGGAAUGAUAUGAGAAGUUUGAAAUAUGGUGCUUUACUUAAGAUUUUAUAUGCCUUCUUGUGAAUUCAUGCAUACUUAUUCAUGUCUCACAUCUUCUCAUUGGGUGCUCAGAACGCAUUUUGGUAAUUGCAUGCAAUAACAUUGAGGGGUGAAUGGUGAUGGCCUCCUUAAAUGGAAGAAAUGAAUGAAUGGAUUAGGAGAAGCUACAGUGAGAGUGGAGUGCAUUUGAAAUUCCUAUCACACUCAUUUAGAUGCAUUGUUUUCCACUCUAUUUAAAUUUCCUUUAUCCUUCAAAUUAAAUUGAAAGUAGUUUUGAAUUUUGAUGAUAGAGCCUUAG
rnacentral:lncRNA from 1 species